AUUUAUAUAAUAUAUAAUAUAGUAUAUUUGAUUUCCAAUCAAAAAGUUUAAUUAAUUUUAAUAUAAAUA
rnacentral:tRNA from 1 species